GUAAGCACUUUCAGUUGUGAGGAAAAGUUAGUAGUUAAUACCUGCUAGCCGUGACGUUAACAACAGAAGAAGCACCGGCUAACUCCGUGCCAGCAGCCGCGGUAAUACGGAGGGUGCGAGCGUUAAUCGGAAUUACUGGGCGUAAAGCGCACGCAGGCGGUUUGUUAAGCUAGAUGUGAAAGCCCCGGGCUCAACCUGGGAUGGUCAUUUAGAACUGGCAGACUAGAGUCUUGGAGAGGGGAGUGGAAUUCCAGGUGUAGCGGUGAAAUGCGUAGAUAUCUGGAGGAACAUCAGUGGCGAAG
rnacentral:rRNA from 1 species